UGGGANCUUGCACAAUGGGGGAAACCCUGAUGCAGCGAUGCCGCGUGAGUGAAGAAGGCCUUUGGGUUGUAAAACUCUUUCGUCGGGGAAGAAAAUGACUGUACCCGAAUAAGAAGGUCCGGCUAACUUCGUGCCAGCAGCCGCGGUAAUACGAAGGGACCUAGCGUAGUUCGGAAUUACUGGGCUUAAAGAGCUCGUAGGUGGUUAAAGAAGUUGGUGGUGAAAUCCCAAGGCUUAACCUUGGAACUGCCAUCAAAACUUUUUAGCUAGAGUAUGAUAGAGGAAAGUGGAAUUUCUAGUGUAGAGGUGAAAUUCGUAGAUAUUAGAAAGAACACCAAAAGCGAAGGCAACUUUCUGGAUCAUUACUGACACUGAGGAGCGAAAGCAUGGGUAGCGAAGAGGAUUAGAUACCCUCGUAGUCCAUGCUGUAAACGAUGUGUGCUAGACGUUGGAAAUUUGAUUUUCAGUGUCGCAGCAAAAGCGUUAAGCACACCGCCUGGGGAGUACGACCGCAAGGUUAAAACUCAAAUGAAUUGACGGGGACCCGCACAAGCAGUGGAGCAUGUGGUUUAAUUCGAAGAUACGCGCAGAACCUUACCAACUCUUGACAUGUUCGUCGCGACUCGUAGAGAUAUGAGUCUUCGGUUCGGCCGGACGAAACACAGGUGCUGCAUGGCUGUCGUCAGCUCGUGUCGUGAGAUGNUGGG
rnacentral:rRNA from 1 species